rfam:Stegodyphus mimosarum contig57918, whole genome shotgun sequence.
GCCUUCGUGGUGUAACGAUAGCACUCUCGGCUCGUAUUCGAGAGGUCCAGGUUCGAGUCCCAGCGAAGGCA